UCAGUCAAUAAGAGAGAACAUUGACAAGGGUCAUAUUCAUUAAGGAAUGCAACGGGAAACAUUUGAUGUUUCGUAGUUGACAGCAAUUCAGCAUAGAUCCAUCUGGUGGCCUGCCCUCCUCUCUUAAUCUGCGUCGAGAUGACAGUGAUGUCAUCAGAUAGCAACAGGCUGAGACUCAGCGGCACCAGGAUCACUUCCUGUAAUGAGUGAUGAGGCUUCUUUGGCCGGAAAACAGGGGAUGAAAGAAAAUAAGAUUAUGGUUCAUUAGUGAUGUGCAAACACAAGCAGGGUCUUUGGAGGCUGGGACAGGGCUGGGGACGUGGGAACAGUACAAACCCACAUCUCCCCCAUGGUGUCCACACCGCCGGGCCUGGUGGAAAUGGUAGAAUCCAUUCCACCAACGCUGAGCUUAUAUGUGGCAUUGGCAUAGUCCACUUCACACCCUGGAAUGGGGGUGUUUUGGUGUAUUAGCGAUGGAUACUCAGAAGUCCCUCCACCUACCCCAGAUUGAUAAUGGCACAGGCCAGCUUUUUGGCCUCUCUCCCAGGGACUACAGCAUUGACAUGCUCUCAGGGGGGUGCGGAAUGGGACCUCCUAGGGACUCUACUUUGUGAUCUCUCCCAUUCGGCCCCAGGGCUCCCCCUCUGGCGAGCACCAUCACAGUAUCUCCUGUGACACCGGCGAACUCGAAGGCAAAGGUUCCGUAGAAGAGCAUGAUGGUGACGCAGAACACCCACUCAAAGAUGGCCGACGCGUGCUGCAGGACGAAGCUCUCCUGGACAAAGAACACGCCACCUAGAGGCAGGAAGGUCAAGGAGCACAACUACAGACUGACCAACUAACAGACUGACUGCCAUGAGAAGAGGAUGACCAUGUCCCAAAUCAACCUCUAGCCCCUAUGCACUACUGGAGAUAUUCUCCCCAUUUCCCUGCUCUCCAUCCCUCCAUUCCUUCCCUUCUCUCCCCCAUUCCACCUCGAUUUCAACAACACCUCUCUUUCUCCAUCUUCCCUUACGCCUCCCUCUCUCCUCUCUGAUUGUAAAGAUAGGUACAGAUGUAGGACCUUAAUUUGAGCCAGUUGCAACAGGAAAUGUGAAUUAUUAUAUAAUUAAUGGACAUUUUUGUAGGGGUUGAUACAUUUUUCAUAAGUGAAAAUUCAGUCUGAAUCAAGUGGAAAUGACAAACUUCAGAAUAAUUUUAAGCCUCAAAUACACAUGUUCUGCAUUGCAGGAAAGGUCUCCUGCAACAGGGCGAUCAAAUUAAGAUCCUACAUCUGUAGUAGCCUUUGCUUGUGCGAGCCAGAGCGGCUCAUAAGAGUGGGAGUCUAUCUCCUGUUUCUGUUUCCCUGGAUAGGAUGCUAGUCUAUGCAGGGCCUUGGUUGUGAAGAUAACACAGAUCUUAUUGAGUACGGUUCAAUAUAUUCUGCAGGAUAUUAAGCACCAACGUGAUGAAGGCCAGUAGUGUCAUGCCCAGUCGUAGGUGAGCCAGGCUGUAUUCUCCCUGAGUCUUGGCCAGCCUGUAGGUUAGAGCCGACUGCAGACACACAAACAGCAUACUGGUGGGGAACGCUACCCCUGCCCCCACAUAGUGGAGGAUCUUAGCAUUAUCCACCUGCGGAGGGAAAGAAAGAUGCAUUUAUUAGUAUAGUAUGGAUUAUCAUUGUCUCAAUGAGCAUUGAACAAGUCACAUACUGAAAACACUGAACUAGUCACAUAGAAACACAAUCACAUAUGAUGCUAGACAUCAGUUGAAAAGCUCUCUCUCUAUUCUGGCCUCUAGUUUUGCUGUUCUCAGUUUGGCCAGAAGGGGGAGGCAGUAGUCAGUCAGUGAAAUAGUAGUGAGUCUGGUAGCACAUUACUCCUUCUAUCCUUUCUUUAAAGUGAAAGAGAUACUGUAGAGAAAGAAUGAAGGAAAGCAAGAGGACAACCAGAGAGGGACAGAAACAAAAUAGGGCAACCAGUGGAGCACAAACAUUGUAAACACAACAAACAUCAUGUAUCUGUUUACUUAUCUUCCCCUACUAUUCAUACUACAACUAUCUGCACCUUGUUAAAACACUAUCUGAAAUGUCUUUAUCCAUUUCAAACCUUCAUGAAUGUUUACUGUUCCUGUUUUAUUGUUUGUUGAUUUUUUGUUUCUUCUGAUUUGUGGCUAUUGUUUAUUUUUGCUUGCUUUGGCAAUGCAAACAAUGUUUCACAUGCCAAUAAAGCUCCUUUCAAUUGAA